CUCGCUCCUGGCUGUAGAUCUCUCUUCUCUGUAAUUGUCAGGGUUGUUGGAGACCUUAUGCUUCGAAUCCAGCGUAUUCAAGACUUUACUCCCAAGCUUCUGUUAGUCAGAAAGCGGUUACUUGGUUUGGAACCUGAAGGCCCUAUUAUUGACCACAUCACACUGCUAGAGGGUGUGAUUGUGUUAGAAGAGUUCUGUAAGGAGCUGGCGGCAAUCGCAUUUGUAAAAUAUCAUGCUUCCUCCACACCAUAAAUAACAUCUUUCAUGUAACUGGGGGAACAGAACUACUGUGUACAUUUCACCAAAAAAGACUCAGUUCCACCCAGCCACAAGAGGAUAAAAAGCCUUUUUAAACGCAGUAUUGCUGUAAACUGGACAGAACCAUUAAGAACCUAUUGAGUGGACAUUCUUGGUGAAAUGUUGUAUAAUGUUGUUUUCAUUGGCUUUAUCAUAAUGGUUCUAUAUAUACAAUUGCACAUUGUUGAAUCCAGGAUACAAUCAAAGGAACUUCAGGAAAUAAGCAUUUCUAAUGACUGUGAAAAGCUGCAAUAUUUCCAAUGUCAUGACUUUGAUGAUAUUUCUGUUAUAUUAAUGUCCUUUUAGGUAGCAAGGCAUUUUGACAUUCUCUGGGACUCAAAUGCUUGUAUUCUUUUGGAUUAAUAAGUAGC
rnacentral:lncRNA from 1 species